GACGAACGCUGGCGGCGUGCUUAACACAUGCAAGUCGAACGAAGUGGCGAACGGGUGAGUAAUACGUGGGUAACCUGCCCUCCUUUUUGGGAUAAGCCUUGGAAACGGGGUCUAAUACCGAAUAAAGGGGGAUGUGCUCGAGGUCUAUCGGCUGGUUGGGGGGGUGAUGGCCUACCAAGGCGGUGACGGGUGGCCGGCCUGAGAGGGUGACCGGCAACAUUGAGACUGUGAUGCGGCCCAGGCUAGGAAGGGGGGCAGCAGUGGGGGAUAUUGGCCAAUGGGCGAAAGCGCCAUGCAGCGUGGCCGCGUGAGGGAUGAAGGCUUUCGGGUUGUAAAACUCUGUCGGUAUCGAACGGUUAGGUGGAGAAGAAGCGCCGGCUAACUACGUGCCAGCAGCCGCGGUAAUUC
rnacentral:rRNA from 1 species